AGGGGGCAAGCGUUGUCCGGAUUUAUUGGGCGUAAAGAGCGUGUAGGCGGUUUGGUAGGUCCGCUGUGAAAACUCGAGGCUCAACCUCGAGACGCCGGUGGAAACCAUCAGACUAGAGUCCGGAAGAGGGGAGUGGAAUUCCUGGUGUAGCGGUGAAAUGCGCAGAUAUCAGGAAGAACACCCGUGGCUAAGGCGGCUCUCUAGUACGGUACUGACGCUGAGACGCGAAAGCGUGGGGAGCGAACAGGAUUAGAUACCCUGGUAGUCCACGCCGUAAACGAUGGGUGCUAGGUGUAGGGGGUGUCGACUCCCUCUGUGCCGAAGCUAACGCAUUAAGCACCCCGCCUGGGGAGUACGGCCGCAAGGCUA
rnacentral:rRNA from 1 species